UGGCACAGCCGUGACUCGCAGGGCUGCACUCCCUUCUCUUCCCAUCCUGGUCCCGUUCUUCAUGUAUAGGGGCUCAGCUGCGUACACAGCCUCCGAAACGACAGCCCAAUCGACACUGCCAAGUCCUGAGCAUCCCAGACAGGCUCACAGGUGCUGCUGACGUUCUUUCUCACUGGGAUUCCAGCAUCACGGCUGCUGUGUUGAGUAAAGAAGAGGGACAUUGGGAAGCAACCACACAGAGGAUGCAACCACAGAUGCAACUGUUGCAGCAGUUGGCUGAAAAUUGACACAACCAGGUGUGGUGGUGCACAGCUGUAUUUCCCAGUGCUCAGAAGAAGAGGCAGGAGAGUUACAGCAAGUUCAAAGUCAGCUGGGAUACAAAGCAAGCAUCAGGCCAACCAAGGGCACAUAGGAG